rnacentral:rRNA from 1 species
AUUGAACGCUGGCGGCAGGCUUUACACAUGCAAGUCGAACGGCAGCGCGGGCUUCGGCAUGGCGGCGAGUGGAGAACGGGUGAGUAAUGCAUCGGAACGUGCCCAGUAGUGGGGGAUAGCCCGGCGAAAGCCGGAUGAAUACCGCAUACGACCUGAGGGUGAAAGCGGGGGACCGAAAGGCCGCGCGCUAUUGGAGCGGCCGAUGUCGGAUUAGCUAGUUGGUGGGGUAAAGGCUUACCAAGGCGACGAUCCGUAGCUGGUCUGAGAGGACGACCAGCCACACUGGGACUGAGACACGGCCCAGACUCCUACGGGAGGCAGCAGUGGGGAAUUUUGGACAAUGGGGGCAACCCUGUUCCAGCCAUGCCGCGUGCGGGAAGAAGGCCUUCGGGUUGUAAACCGCUUUUGUUCGGGAAGAAAUCCUCUGGGCUAAUACCCCGGGGGGAUGACGGUACCGGAAGAAUAAGCACCGGCUAACUACGUG